rnacentral:rRNA from 1 species
AUGAGUUGCCUAUCAUGGAACUGCCGGGGGCUUGGGAACCCCGAGGCGGUUCGAGAGCUUUGCAGCAUUGUGAAGCUAGAAGGACCCACUCUUCUCUUCGUCGUGGAAACAAAAAUUAAAGGGAAGAGAGUUGAGGAUUUGCAAAGACAUCUAGGCUUCGGCGGGUGCUUUGAAGUGGAUAGUGUCGGCCUAAGUGAUGGCAUUGGGAUUUUUUGGUCACAUGAUGUUAUUGUUGAGCUUAAAAACUAUAGCUCUGGACACAUUGAUGCUUUUGUUAAAUACAAAUAUCAAAACUCCUUUCAACGGAGGUUUACUGGUUUUUAUGGAGCGCCCUGA